CUGAUUUCCGAGAACUUGAGCGGCCACCGGAUCGAGACCCCCCCGGGAGAGGUGAGGACGCUGCGGGCUCCAGAGGAAGAGGCGGGGCAGGGUUUCGUCGUAGUGGGACAGGAAGGGGAAGGCUAAGGUUCCUCUUCCCUACCUUCAUCAGAGGAUCAUCAUACCAACCACCUAGAAUAUCAAGGACUGGCAAGAUUUAUGCUGCCUCUGACUUUCAGUGUUUGGAUUUAGCAUAUUUAUAAAAGACCUGUUGGACUGGG